AUUUUAGCAUAAGUAUGUCCCAUGCAAUCCUUGGCACAUACUUAUACUAAAA
rnacentral:pre_miRNA from 1 species